GUUGAACGCUGGCGGCAGGCUUAACACAUGCAAGUCGAGCGAGCGGCGGACGGGUGAGUAAUGUAUGGGAAACUGCCUGAUGGAGGGGGAUAACUACUGGAAACGGUAGCUAAUACCGCAUACCAUCAGAUGUGCCCAGAUGGGAUUAGCUAGUAGGUGGGGUAAUGGCUCACCUAGGCGACGAUCCCUAGCUGGUCUGAGAGGAUGACCAGCCACACUGGAACUGAGACACGGUCCAGACUCCUACGGGAGGCAGCAGUGGGGAAUAUUGCACAAUGGGCGCAAGUCUGAGGCAGCCAUGCCGCGUGUGUGAAGAAGGCUUUCGGGUUGUAAAGCACUUUUAGCGAGGAGGCGUUACUCGCAGAGGAAGCACCGGCUAACUCCGUGCCAGCAGCCGCGGUAAUUC
rnacentral:rRNA from 1 species